rnacentral:lncRNA from 1 species
GACAUGUGGCUGCUAAUGCAAUCAGGGUUUAAGCCUUUAUCCCCAGUUGCUGGUUUUGCAAAUAUAAGGGUGAGUGACUUGCUGCUUAGUUCGAGUGGAUGGAAUUUAAGUCUAGUUAAUGAGUUAUUUACACAUGAAGAGGGAAGAAUGAUUAUAGACAAUCCACUGAGUUCGGGACGACCAUAAAACUUUCUCUUAUGGGCAUUCUCAAGAAAUGGUACUUAUACCAUGAAA